rnacentral:rRNA from 1 species
AGAGUUUGAUCCUGGCUCAGGACGAACGCUGGCGGCGUGCCUAACACAUGCAAGUCGAACGGAGAUAAAGAUUUCGGUUUUUAUCUUAGUGGCGCACGGGUGAGUAACACGUGAAUAACCUGACCCAAAGAGGGGGAUAACACCUGGAAACAGGUGCUAAUACCGCAUAAGACCACAAUGUCGCAUGACGAAGGGGUCAAAGAAAAUCGCUUUGGGAGGGGUUCGCGUCCCAUUAGGUAGUAGGCGGGGUAACGGCCCACCUAGCCGACGAUGGGUAGCCUAGCUGAGAGGCUGAUCGGCCACACUGGAACUGAGACACGGUCCAGACUCCUACGGGAGGCAGCAGUGGGGAAUAUUGGGCAAUGGGCGCAAGCCUGACCCAGCAACGCCGCGUGAGGGAAGAAGGUUUUCGCAUUGUAAACCUCUGUCGCAGAAGACGAAGGAAGUGACGGUAUUCUGUGAGGAAGCCCCGGCUAACUACGUGCCAGCAGCCGCGGUAAUACGUAGGGGGCGAGCGUUGUCCGGAAUUACUGGGCGUAAAGGGAGCGUAGGCGGUCUGAUAAGUUGGAUGUGAAAUACCCGGGCUUAACUUGGGGGGUGCAUCCAAUACUGUUGGACUAGAGUACAGGAGAGGAAAGCGGAAUUCCUAGUGUAGCGGUGAAAUGCAUAGAUAUUAGGAGGAACAUCGGUGGCGAAGGCGGCUUUCUGGACUGCAACUGACGCUGAGGCUCGAAAGCGUGGGGAGCAAACAGGAUUAGAUACCCUGGUAGUCCACGCUGUAAACGAUGAAUACUAGGUGUAGGGGGUAUAAACUCCCUCUGUGCCGCAGCAAACGCAAUAAGUAUUCCGCCUGGGGAGUACGGCCGCAAGGUUGAAACUCAAAGGAAUUGACGGGGGCCCGCAUAAGCAGCGGAGCAUGUGGUUUAAUUCGACGCAACGCGAAGAACCUUACCAAGGCUUGACAUCCCUAUGAAUAACGGGCAAUGCCGUUAGUACUUCGGUACAUGGGAGACAGGUGGUGCAUGGUUGUCGUCAGCUCGUGUCGUGAGAUGUUGGGUUAAGUCCCGCAACGAGCGCAACCCUUAUCUUUAGUAGCCAGCAGUAAGAUGGGCACUCUAGAGAGACUGCCGGGGAUAACCCGGAGGAAGGUGGGGAUGACGUCAAAUCAUCAUGCCCCUUAUGACCAGGGCUACACACGUGCUACAAUGGCGUAAACAAAGAGAAGCGAAGUCGUGAGGCAGAGCGAAUCUCAAAAAUAACGUCUCAGUUCGGAUUGUAGUCUGCAACUCGACUACAUGAAGCUGGAAUCGCUAGUAAUCGCAGAUCAGAAUGCUGCGGUGAAUACGUUCCCGGGUCUUGUACACACCGCCCGUCACACCAUGGGAGUCGGAAAUGCCCGAAGUCGGUGACCUAACCGCAAGGAAGGAGCCGCCGAAGGCAGGUCUGAUAACUGGGGUGAAGUCGUAACAAGGUA